GGUGACGAGCGGCGGACGGGUGAGUAAUGUCUGGGAAACUGCCUGAUGGAGGGGGAUAACUACUGGAAACGGUAGCUAAUACCGCAUAACGUCGCAAGACCAAAGUGGGGGACCUUCGGGCCUCAUGCCAUCAGAUGUGCCCAGAUGGGAUUAGCUGGUAGGUGGGGUAACGGCUCACCUAGGCGACGAUCCCUAGCUGGUCUGAGAGGAUGACCAGCCACACUGGAACUGAGACACGGUCCAGACUCCUACGGGAGGCAGCAGUGGGGAAUAUUGCACAAUGGGCGCAAGCCUGAUGCAGCCAUGCCGCGUGUGUGAAGAAGGCCUUCGGGUUGUAAAGCACUUUCAGCGGGGAGGAAGGCGGUGAGGUUAAUAACCUCAUCGAUUGACGUUACCCGCAGAAGAAGCACCGGCUAACUCCGUGCCAGCAGCCGCGGUAAUACGGAGGGUGCAAGCGUUAAUCGGAAUUACUGGGCGUAAAGCGCACGCAGGCGGUCUGUCAAGUCGGAUGUGAAAUCCCCGGGCUCAACCUGGGAACUGCAUUCGAAACUGGCAGGCUAGAGUCUUGUAGAGGGGGGUAGAAUUCCAGGUGUAGCGGUGAAAUGCGUAGAGAUCUGGAGGAAUACCGGUGGCGAAGGCGGCCCCCUGGACAAAGACUGACGCUCAGGUGCGAAAGCGUGGGGAGCAAACAGGAUUAGAUACCCUGGUAGUCCACGCUGUAAACGAUGUCGAUUUGGAGGUUGUGCCCUUGAGGCGUGGCUUCCGGAGCUAACGCGUUAAAUCGACCGCCUGGGGAGUACGGCCGCAAGGUUAAAACUCAAAUGAAUUGACGGGGGCCCGCACAAGCGGUGGAGCAUGUGGUUUAAUUCGAUGCAACGCGAAGAACCUUACCUGGUCUUGACAUCCACAGAACUUUCCAGAGAUGGAUUGGUGCCUUCGGGAACUGUGAGACAGGUGCUGCAUGGCUGUCGUCAGCUCGUGUUGUGAAAUGUUGGGUUAAGUCCCGCAACGAGCGCAACCCUUAUCCUUUGUUGCCAGCGGUUAGGCCGGGAACUCAAAGGAGACUGCCAGUGAUAAACUGGAGGAAGGUGGGGAUGACGUCAAGUCAUCAUGGCCCUUACGACCAGGGCUACACACGUGCUACAAUGGCAUAUACAAAGAGAAGCGACCUCGCGAGAGCAAGCGGACCUCAUAAAGUAUGUCGUAGUCCGGAUUGGAGUCUGCAACUCGACUCCAUGAAGUCGGAAUCGCUAGUAAUCGUAGAUCAGAAUGCUACGGUGAAUACGUUCCCGGGCCUUGUACACACCGCCCGUCACACCAUGGGAGUGGGUUGCAAAAGAAGUAGGUAGCUUAACCUUCGGGAGGGCGCUUACCACUUUGUGAUUCAUGACUGGGGUGAAGUCGUAACAAGGUAACCGUAGGGGAACCUGCGGUUGGAUCACCU
rnacentral:rRNA from 1 species